GACGCCUCUGCUUAUCAACCAGAUAUUGAUUUCAGGUUUCCAAGACCCCCUCCUUAGGUUUGAUUAAUUUGCCAGAGGGGCUCACAGAACUCAGAGAAACGGUUUCCUUACUGGACUCAGAAACAGGCAGAUGGACGAGAUGCACAGGGCAAGGGAUGGGAAAGGGGUGCAGAGCUCCCAUGCCGUCUCUAAGCCACCCCUCUCCCAGAAUCUCCACGUGUUCACCAGCCAGGAAGCUCUCAGAACACUUUCCUUUGGGGUGAUAAAGGAGGCUUCAUCACAUGAGUGUGAUUGAUUAUGUCACUGACCAUUGGUGACUGAACUCAGUCUCCAGCCUCUGUCCUCUCCCAGAAGUCUAGAGCGCUGAACAAGCUCUAGCGAUGCUGUUGCCAAGCCCUUCAAUUCCUUCACCUCUGCUGGCUUGCAUUCCACAUACCAUGAAACAGCCCAGCCUGAGAGUUACCCUACUCUGCUGCCUCGACUCCACACUUCGGCCGAAGGAGAAAAUCCCAGUGAAUCUGCAAGACAUUUGAAACAAUACUUGACUCUCACCAUCACCGUUGCUUCAAGACGCAUUCAGUCCUUAACGCUUUGUGAUCUGAUGUCCAUCUGGGCCACCCUCCUGAAGAAACGCUUCGUCAAGAAAUCUAAGGAAUUCCUGCUUUGUAAGCCCAGUGGACCCUUUCAAUUUUCAUCUGACAGUUCCUUUAUGCAACACGUAGCGCCGCUAACCACUCCUUCCUUUUGGAAACACUCUUCUUUGGCUCCCCAAACACCAUCGUCCUGCCCCUCUGACCACUCCGGCUCAGUCUCUUUCCCAGUGCUCCUCUUCCUCAGACCAACCAUGAAAAGCCCCUGGUACUCUAUCUUCUCUAAAGCGUCUUCCUGACUGAUCUCACCCAUAUACUGAUGAAAACUUUAUUUACAGCCCCAACUUUUUCCUGGGCUUUGUAGAAAUAUAUCUAAUUACAUAUCAUGGCCACAGUUACUGACUUCACUGCCCUGAUUCAGUGCCUCACAUCCCUCA
ensembl:lncRNA